rnacentral:lncRNA from 10 species
UGAGUUUGAGCUCCUGGGCGGAGAUUUUUGUUGCCUUGUAACUGGGAUUCCUAGAUCCAGCCUCCACCCUCUGAUUGCCCUAAGGAGGUUUUGGGGUUUUGUUUUGUUUUGUUUGUGUUUUCGUAGGAUGGUGGCAGUGAUUUUGAGGAGGGGAAGAGGAAGGAAGAUACAAGCAAGGGAAGUCACAGGCUGUGGUGCCUAGGCAGACCCUGGUUUGAAUCUUGGCCUUACCACUUUUUGCAUGUAAGUGGUAGGGGCAGCAGAUAGCUCAGGACAUAUCUUGGGUUUUUUUGUUUGUUUUUGUUUUGAGACAUAGUCUCACUCUGUUGCAGUGAGCCGAGAUGGCACCACUGCACUCCAGCCUGGGUAACAGAGCAAGACUCUGUCUUAA